rnacentral:rRNA from 1 species
ACCGGCGCACGGGUGCGUAACGCGUAUGCAAUCUACCUUUUACAGAGGGAUAGCCCAGAGAAAUUUGGAUUAAUACCUCAUAGUAUAUAGCCCUGGCAUCAGGAUUAUAUUAAAGUCACAACGGUAAAAGAUGAGCAUGCGUCCCAUUAGCUAGUUGGUAAGGUAACGGCUUACCAAGGCUACGAUGGGUAGGGGUCCUGAGAGGGAGAUCCCCCACACUGGUACUGAGACACGGACCAGACUCCUACGGGAGGCAGCAGUGAGGAAUAUUGGACAAUGGGCGCAAGCCUGAUCCAGCCAUGCCGCGUGCAGGAUGACGGUCCUAUGGAUUGUAAACUGCUUUUAUACGAGAAGAAACACUCCUUCGUGAAGGAGCUUGACGGUAUCGUAAGAAUAAGGAUCGGCUAACUCCGUGCCAGCAGCCGCGGUAAUACGGAGGAUCCAAGCGUUAUCCGGAAUCAUUGGGUUUAAAGGGUCCGUAGGCGGUUUAAUAAGUCAGUGGUGAAAGCCCAUCGCUCAACGGUGGAACGGCCAUUGAUACUGUUAGACUUGAAUUAUUAGGAAGUAACUAGAAUAUGUAGUGUAGCGGUGAAAUGCUUAGAGAUUACAUGGAAUACCAAUUGCGAAGGCAGGUUACUACUAAUUGAUUGACGCUGAUGGACGAAAGCGUGGGUAGCGAACAGGAUUAGAUACCCUGGUAGUCCACGCCGUAAACGAUGGAUACUAGCUGUUGGAAGCAAUUUCAGUGGCUAAGCGAAAG